UUUUUGUUUUGUUUUGUUUUUCAAGACAGGGUUUCUCUGUGUAUCUUUAAAAAAAUCUCUUUUAAAGAUUUAUUAUUUAUGAUGUAUACAGUGUUCUGCCUGCACACCAGAAGAGGGCACCAGAUCUUAUUACAGGUGGUUGUCAGCCACCAUGUGGUUGCUGGGAAUUGAACUCAGGACCUCUGGAAGAGCAGCAAGUGCUCUUAACCUCUGAGCCAUCUCUCCAGCCUCUCUAGGUUACUGAUUACAACAGUUGUGUUGAAUCUGGAGAAUGGCAGGUCUCACAUUGCUCGGUCUGUCCUGCCCACCCAUGAAGCAGAACAAAGAGCCACAGAUGAUGAAGAAAGGGGAGAUGUUAGCAAAGGAUCCAGCAAGAAUUCUAGUUUUUGGUCUGGAGAUAGAAACUCAGAGAAGAGCAACGAGAAGAAUGAAGACUUCUUGGGUAA